GUGCUUGCUUGGCAGUACAUAAUAUCAAAUUGGAAUGAUAUAGAGAAAAUUAGCAUGGCCUUGGUGCAAGGAUGACAUGCAAAAACAUGAAGCAUCUCGUUAAAAA
ensembl:snRNA U6 U6 spliceosomal RNA